CACCGCGGUUAUACGAGAGACCCAAGUUGACAGACAAUCGGCGUAAAGAGUGGUUAAGUACUAUACCCUACUAAAGCCAAACACCUUCAAAGCUGUUAUACGCACCCGAAGGUUAGAAGCCCAAUCACGAAAGUGGCUUUAAACUUACUGAACCCACGAAAGCUAGGGCA
rnacentral:rRNA from 1 species